UACGGAGGGGGCUAGCGUUGUUCGGAAUUACUGGGCGUAAAGCGCGCGUAGGCGGACCUGCAAGUCGGGGGUGAAAGCCCGAGGCUCAACCUCGGAACUGCCUUCGAUACUGCGGGUCUCGAGUCCGGGAGAGGUGAGUGGAAUUCCUAGUGUAGAGGUGAAAUUCGUAGAUAUUAGGAAGAACCCCAGUGGCGAAGGCGGCUCACUGGCCCGGUACUGACGCUGAGGCGCGAAAGCGUGGGGAGCAAACAGG
rnacentral:rRNA from 1 species